CAGUGAGUCAUCGAAUCUUUGAACGCACAUUGCGCCCACUGGUAUUCCGGUGGGCAUGCCUGUUCGAGCGUCAUUAUCCUCCCUCAAACCCCGGGUUUGGUGUUGGACCCAAGUUGUGUGAACAACUGGUCUCAAAGACAAUGACGGCGUCCGUGGGACCCUCGGUGCAACGAGCUUUUAAACGAGCACGCGUCGAGUUUCAAGGACCUUCCGGGCCGGUCUCCUUCUUUUAUUUACAAAGGUUGACCUCGGAUCAGGUAGGAAUACCCGCUGAACUUAAGCAUAUCAAUAAGCGGAGGA
rnacentral:misc_RNA from 1 species